AUUGAACGCUGGCGGCAGGCCUAACACAUGCAAGUCGAGCGGGGUUUUCGGACCUAGCGGCGGACGGGUGAGUAAUGCGUAGGAACGUACCUUUUGGUUCGGAACAACUCAGGGAAACUGGAAUUAAUACCGUAUGUGCCCUACGGGUGAAAGAUUUAUCGGCAAAGGAUUGGCCCGCGUUGGAUUAGCAAGUUGGUGGGGUAAUGGCCUACCAAGGCGACGAUCCAUAGCUGGUCUGAGAGGAUGAUCAGCCACAUUGGGACUGAGACACGGCCCAAACUCCUACGGGAGGCAGCAGUGGGGAAUAUUGGACAAUGGGCGCAAGCCUGAUCCAGCCAUGCCGCGUGAGUGAUGAAGGCCUUAGGGUUGUAAAGCUCUUUCACCGGAGAAGAUAAUGUCGGUAUCCGGAGAAGAAGCCCCGGCUAACUUCGUGCCAGCCGCCGCGGUAAAAC
rnacentral:rRNA from 1 species